rnacentral:rRNA from 1 species
GAUGAACGCUGGCGGCGUGCCUAAUACAUGCAAGUCGAGCGAACAGACGAGGAGCUUGCUCCUCUGACGUUAGCGGCGGACGGGUGAGUAACACGUGGAUAACCUACCUAUAAGACUGGGAUAACUUCGGGAAACCGGAGCUAAUACCGGAUAAUAUAUUGAACCGCAUGGUUCAAUAGUGAAAGACGGUUUUUCUGUCACUUAUAGAUGGAUCCGCGCCGCAUUAGCUAGUUGGUAAGGUAACGGCUUACCAAGGCGACGAUGCGUAGCCGACCUGAGAGGGGGACGGGGAAACAUGGAACUGAGACACGGCCAAGGACCUGAGGGAAGGCAGAGGUAGGGAAGGUUCCAAAAGGGGGGAAAGACUGAAGGAGAAACGCGGGGGGAGUGAAGAGGGUCUGGGGGAGGUAAAACUGUGUUAUGGGGGAAAAACAAAUGUGGAAGGAAAUAUGCACGUCUUAAGGGAACUUAAGAAGAAAGCCAGGGCAAACAAGUG